rnacentral:rRNA from 1 species
UACGUAGGGUGCGAGCGUUAAUCGGAAUUACUGGGCGUAAAGCGUGCCCAGGCGGUUCUCCAAGUCCGUUGUGAAAGCCCCGGGCUCAACCUGGGAAUGGCAGUGGAAACUAGGGGACUUGAAUCUGGCAGAGGGGGGUGGAAUUCCACGUGUAGCAGUGAAAUGCGUAGAGAUGUGGAGGAACACCGAUGGCGAAGGCAGCCCCCUGGGCUGAGAUUGACGCUCAGGCACGAAAGCGUGGGGAGCAAACAGG